rnacentral:rRNA from 1 species
CCUACGGGAGGCAGCAGUGGGGAAUAUUGGACAAUGGGGGGAACCCUGAUCCAGCGACGCCGCGUGAGUGAAGAAGUAUUUCGGUAUGUAAAGCUCUAUCAGCAGGGAAGAAAGAAAUGACGGUACCUGACUAAGAAGCCCCGGCUAACUACGUGCCAGCAGCCGCGGUAAUACGUAUGGGGCAAGCGUUAUCCGGAUUUACUGGGUGUAAAGGGAGCGCAGGCGGCCUGUCAAGUCUGGUGUGAAAACCCGGGGCCCAACCCCGGGCCUGCAUUGGAAACUGGCGGGCUGGAGUGUCGGGGGGGGAGGGGGAAAUCCUAGUGGAGCGGUGAGAAGCGUAGAUAUUAGGAGGAACACCGGUGGCGAAGGCGGCCUGCUGGACGAUGAAUGACGCUGAGGCUCGAAAGCGUGGGGAGCAAACAGGAUUAGAUACCCUAGUAGUC